AUUGAACGCUGGCGGCAUGCUUUACACAUGCAAGUCGAACGGCAGCGCGGGGCAACCUGGCGGCGAGUGGCGAACGGGUGAGUAAUACAUCGGAACGUACCCAGAAGUGGGGGAUAACGUAGCGAAAGUUACGCUAAUACCGCAUACGUUCUACGGAAGAAAGUGGGGGAUCUUCGGACCUCAUGCUUUUGGAGCGGCCGAUGUCUGAUUAGCUAGUUGGUGAGGUAAAGGCUCACCAAGGCGACGAUCAGUAGCUGGUCUGAGAGGACGACCAGCCACACUGGGACUGAGACACGGCCCAGACUCCUACGGGAGGCAGCAGUGGGGAAUUUUGGACAAUGGGCGCAAGCCUGAUCCAGCAAUGCCGCGUGAGUGAAGAAGGCCUUCGGGUUGUAAAGCUCUUUUGUCAGGGAAGAAACGGCUGGGGCUAAUAUCCCCGGCUAAUGACGGUACCUGAAGAAUAGGCACCGGCUAACUACGUGCCAGCCGCCGAGUAA
rnacentral:rRNA from 1 species